ensembl:snRNA U4atac minor spliceosomal RNA
ACUUUCCUUGUCAUGGGGUGGUUCGGGAAACUCAAUGAACGCGUAGUGAGAGCUUCCCUGCUGACACCAUAUCAACACAUACGCACCACCUGAACCGCGAGUUCAGACCACGGUGCAAUUUUUGGAAAC